rnacentral:rRNA from 1 species
GAUGAACGCUGGCGGCGUGCUUAACACAUGCAAGUCGAACGGAGCGCUUAAACGGAUUUCUUCGGAAUGAAGUUUUUGCGACUGAGUGGCGGACGGGUGAGUAACGCGUGGGUAACCUGCCUCAUACAGGGGGAUAACAGUUAGAAAUGACUGCUAAUACCGCAUACGAUUCAACUUCGGCAUCGAGGAUGAAUGAAAGGUGGCCUCUAUUUAUAAGCUAUCGCUGAAGGAGGGGAUUGCGUCUGAUUAGCUAGUUGGAGGGGUAACGGCCCACCAAGGCGAUGAUCAGUAGCCGGUCUGAGAGGAUGAACGGCCACAUUGGGACUGAGACACGGCCCAG